CUACGGGAUGCUCCAGUAAGGAAUAUUGGGCAAUGGACGCAAGUCUGACCCAGCCAUGCCGCGUGCAGGAUGACAGCCCUACGGGUUGUAAACUGCUUUUAUACGGGAAAAAUUCCCUGGUCGUGCACCGGGGUUGAUGGUACCGUAAGAAUAAGCAUCGGCUAACUCCGUGCCAGCAGCCGCGGUAAUACGGAGGAUGCAAGCGUUAUCCGGAUUCAUUGGGUUUAAAGGGUGCGCAGGCGGAAUGAUAAGUCAGUGGUGAAAUCCUACGGCUCAACUGUAGAACUGCCAUUGAUACUUUGUUCUUGAGUACAUUUGAGGUGGGCGGAAUGUGUCAUGUAGCGGUGAAAUGCUUAGAGAUGACACAGAACACCGAUUGCGAAGGCAGCUCACUAAACUGUAACUGACGCUGAGGCACGAAAGCGUGGGGAUCAAACAGGAUUAGAUACCCUGGUAGUC
rnacentral:rRNA from 1 species